CGUCAACGUACAUUCCCUCAUAUGGAUGUGUUUGACGACUUUGAGCUUGACUUGUCUAUGUUUUGCCUUACAUUUCUUUGGCGGUGCUACAUUGGGAGUCCAGCCACGCUUUUACUGAUGUUUCUUUACCUGUGAGCCCCAUGCCAGCUGAUUUCCAAAUGCAACAAGAUAAGUGAUAUAUUAUCUGUUUUUACAAUAUUUAGCCAGUUGUCAUUGUACAGCACUAGUAUACGCUGUAACUUGUUCUGACGGCCUCAAUGUUUAUUGCCUCUUUGAGCUUGACUUUGUUUUGCCUAACAUUUCUUUCAAGGUUCUACAUUGGAAAUGCAGCUACUCUAAAACUGACGAUGCUUGUCCUGCAAAAUUCAUGCCUGCUGUUGGCCAAACGCAACAAGUUAAGUACUAAAAAUACGUUUUCAAAAUUUAGCCAGUAGUCAAUAUACUGUAAUAGUCUUCAAGGUAAUAUUAUUUGACGGCGUCAACGUGCAUUCCCUCGUAUGGAUGUGUUUGACUACUUUGAGCUUGACUUGUCUAUGUUUUGCCUUACAUUUCUUUGGAGGUCCUACAAUGGGAGUGCAGCCAAGCUUUUACUGAUAAUUCUUUACCUGUGAGCCCCUUGACAGCUGUUGUCUGAAUCCAACAAGAUAAGUUUACAGUCUGGAAUCAUUUGUCAUUGUACAGCUCUAGUCUUCGCUGUAACAUGUUCUGAAGGCCUCAAUCUUCAUUGACUUAUAAUUGAUAUGUUUAACGACACUGCGCUUGAUUUGUCUGUUUUGCCUUACAUUUCUUUCGAGGUUCUACACUGGAAGUGCAGCUACUCUUAUACUGACGAUGCUUGUCUUGCAAAGUCCCUGCCUUUUGUUGGCCAAAUGCAACACGUUAAGUAAAUGCAAUGUCUAUUGCAUUUGGACCACGCACGACUUCACACCAUCCAAAUGAAAUGUCUAUUGCAUUUGGACGAUGCACAAGUGUACACAAUACAAAUGCCGUGUGUCAAUAUUUAUUUAUAAAUGUAACUAUUUAUUUAAUAAUGUUUUUAUAUAUUUAAUAAUUGUUUGCGCAAUCCCAAUGCAAUAUGUGUGUGGGACUUUCAGUUUGAUUGAGGUGUUCCCAAUCAAUAACAUUUGUGCACACUGAGAACUAUGUUACUGGACACUUAUCACUGUAGUUGAACAGCCUGUAGGAAUAUCUGGCUUGUUUUGGCAAGCUUGCCAGGUUAACAGAUACGGAUCUUGAUGAUGUUUUAGAUAUUAUUUGCUAGGACCAUAAACUUGAAUGACAAGAUCCUAAAUACUGGUCAAUUUCAUUCUACUUGAUAUUCUGCCAUCAUGAAUUUGAUUUAUAUUUAAUCCUCCACAAAAUGUGCAAGGCAGAUUUCACAAAGAACAUCUUGCUCUUUUUCUAAACAUAUUAGUGUUAUUUAUUGGGCUAGCUUUGGGAGUUGAAAGAAAUGUUGCAGCAUUAAGCCCAAUCAAACGUAUAUAUAGGAGGAUACACAAUUAGAGAGGGGGUCCAUAUGAACCUAAUACAGUAGGCUUAAGAAUGUCUGUUGCUCAUCCACUAGGCAGCUUGUGUCACGUCCUCCCUCCCUUGAGGUGCCUUGUUUUGCUUCUCCGUUGUCGGCGCAACGACUUAGGGGGCGUGGUGUCACUCCUUGGAGUAGAGCCGGCACCAGCUGUACCCAAUCGCCUAUCCCGCACCUGUUCCCGCUUGGCUCAUCACCGGCUGUAUUUCUGAGGAGCCUUGAGGACCCGUCCCUGCCGGAUCGUUGAUCCACAUCUAUGACCAUCGCCAGCUUGUGUAUCGACCUCCUGCCCUUCUACGACUACUCUGCCUGCUACCUGCCUAGACCUCUGCCGCCAGCCUAUGUAUCAACCCGCUUGCCUGCCCAUGACUACUCUGCACCUGCUCCUGCCCUCAAACCAACCCUACUUCCCCACUCACAAUAAAUAUGUUUUGUUGCACCUCA
ensembl:lncRNA